AGGAAAGUCUUCAAAUGUUUUGUGUCAUCACAAAUGAAGCCUACUUCUCUUUUGGUGUGGUCACUUUGCUUAUUUGACCUUUUUUUUCUACACCUUGUUUUGUAAAAGAACUAUAUGAAUGAAAAUGAAACCAUCACUGUUAAUUAUAUUUACAGUAUGCAAAGUAAUACAAGAAGUUCUCAGAUCUUUAGUACAUAAUCAGCUGGUCAUAUGGCAGCAUACUCAAAGCAUUUAUGAAUGUAGACAUGGUGAAUGGGGAAGAAAGACAAUUUAAGUGACUUUGAAUGUUGCGUAGUUGCUGGUGCCAAACAGGCUGUUCUGAGUAUUUGAGAAAAUGCUGCUCUAGCAAGAUUUUCCAUCACUGGUGGUUUACAGAGAAUGGUACAAAAGGACCAUAUCCAAUAGGCUGCAGUUCUCUGGACAAAAAUGCCUUUUUGAUGUCACAGGAGAAUGGCCUAGAAGACUGCUUCAAACUGAGAGGAAGACAACAGUAAGUCAAAUAACUGCCUGGUCCUACAAAGAUAUGUAGAAGAGCAUCUUUAAUCACACAAUUAAUCACACAGUUCUGAGAGGCUAAAUGUGUAAUCACGUUUGCAAAAUUUCAAAUUUUCAGAUUUAUCAAUUUUAACAAACUGAGAAGAUUGGUUUGAAAAUUGCUCUUUUGUAAGAGGCACAAGCAGACCCCUAUAUGUUUACUGUCAUUUUUUAAUUUAAACUCUGAAACUGAAGUAACAGCUCUUUUGAAAUGAAAAUAUAUGGACUAAAGGAAACAAUACAAAAUAGUAUCACAUGGAAAAAAAAAGUUCAAGCAAGCCACCAAUAUUGCAAUUUGUUGUGCAUUUUCUUCCUCUGUGAAUGUGAACAUUUGACUGAUUAGAUUUCUCCCUUCAUGUCUAUCAAACCUUUAACUGCACUCUGGAGACAGUCAGAAAGAAAUACUGAUCUUCAAUUCCUAAAGACUGAUAUCAAAAUUUGGUGUGUAAUGUUGUUUCACACUGCUGCAUAAUCUUAUGCCCUUCAUCUAAGCAAGAAAGUGGGGGUUUUUUUGGCCCUUUUUCAACUUUAUUCAAUAGGCACAGUGAAGAGAGGACAGGAAAGCGGGGGCAGAGAGAAAGGGGAAGACAUGCGACAAAGGCCCGGCCUCUCUUAGACGUAUGGCA
ensembl:lncRNA